AUUGAACGCUGGCGGAAUGCUUUACACAUGCAAGUCGAACGGCAGCACGGACUUCGGUCUGGUGGCGAGUGGCGAACGGGUGAGUAAUGUAUCGGAACGUGCCCAGUCGUGGGGGAUAACGUAGUGAAAAUUACGCUAAUACCGCAUACGAUCUAUGGAUGAAAGCGGGGGAUCGCAAGACCUCGCGCGAUUGGAGCGGCCGCUAUCAGAGUAGGUAGUUGGUGGGGUAAAGGCCCACCAAGCCAACGAUCUGUAGCUGGUCUGAGAGGACGACCAGACACACUGGAACUGAGACACGGUCCAGACUCCUACGGGAGGCAGCAGUGGGGAAUUUUGGACAAUGGGCGAAAGCCUGAUCCAGCCAUUCCGCGUGCAGGAUGAAGGCCCUCGGGUUGUAAACUGCUUUUGUACAGAACGAAAAGGUUUCUACUAAUACUAGGAGCUCAUGACGGUACUGUAAGAAUAAGCACCGGCUAACUACGUGCCAGCCGCCGCCGUAA
rnacentral:rRNA from 1 species